rnacentral:tRNA from 1 species
ACCUGGCUGGCUCAGUCAGUAGAGCAUGCAACUCUUGAUCUCAAGGUUGUGAGUUCAAGCCCCACACUGGGUG